CCGGGUCACUCACACACUCAAAACACCAACACUCACUCAAGCUCCGAUUUCUCUGUCCGAAAUUCACCCACUCAGCCCUGUUUUCGAUCAUCCCCAUCUGAUACAUAUCUGAUCUCUUCCUCUUCAUUUCCCUCUCGAUCUUCAGUCUCCGUCCUACACCUUAAAUAUUUGAUGAUGUCCGUACGAUGUCUUUGGCGGUGGCCCUAUAUUCUAUGUCACCCACGGGUACGCCAUGGACAUGCCGCCGUUUGAAUCCGACGACGGAAUUGGGCAAAAGUGAUCGAGAAGAAGGAAGUGGAAGAAAGCUGAGACUAGCUCAAGCUGUGCAGGUGACCUACUAUGGUUUCAGAAUCGGACGACGACGAUGACAGGUUCUGUUCCGUUGAAGCUUAAUUAUGAGGGAAUCUUAAAUGCUUGGUCUGAUAAAGGUCUGGCUUUGCUAUUCAAUGUUCCAAGGGACAAGAAUAUAAAUGCUGAAGCUAUGAUGUUUUUAAAUAUUCCAAAGGGGGUAUGAAGUGUGCUCUUCAGGACAUUAAACAUUGACAGGUAAACUGAGAAUAACUGUGCUCAUCAGCAUGAUAUUGCAGUAAACUAAAUAUACAAUGAUAGUUAGGUCUUUUAUUGAUGCACAUCGGCCACAAUCAUUUCUCGUGUUUUUGUCAGUGAAUCUAGCUGUAUUGUAGUUUUCUUAUGUUUGAUUUUUUGGAAUUUCAAGCUGUUGUCUAUCACUAUCACUGGGGUUUGUUUCAUUUUCAUUUAAGAUGGUGAUAACAGCAGGCAAAAUUUUCCUGUGCCUUACUAUAUAGGUUGUGCAGAAAAAAAAAAAAUAUUUAAAAAAUACCCGUUUUGUCUUUUAAGUCUUCUUAUUAUUUUCUCUGGAAUUAGGACAACUAACAAAUGACAAUUUCUCUUAAAAUUUACUUAGGUUUAUUUCUUGUCAUAAGUGACCUUGUAUAGCUUUCAUGACAUGAACAUAUGUAAAAGUUUGUUUAGGGGUAAUGAAUCUGUCAUAUUAUUAUUCUACUA